AUUCGAUUGGGAAUUUUCCGCAAUGGGCGCAAGCCUGACGGAGCAACGCCGCGUGAGGGAUGAAGGCCUCUGGGCUGUAAACCUCUUUUAUCAAGGAAGAAGAUCUGACGGUACUUGAUGAAUAAGCCACGGCUAAUUCCGUGCCAGCAGCCGCGGUAAUACGGGAGUGACAAGCGUUAUCCGGAGUUAUUGGGCGUAAAGCGUCCGCAGGCGGUCUUGUAAGUCUGUCGUUAAAGCGUGGAGCUUAACUCCAUUUAAGCGAUGGAAACUGUAAGACUAGAGUGUGGUAGGGGCAGAGGGAAUUCCCGGUGUAGCGGUGAAAUGCGUAGAUAUCGGGAAGAACACCAGUGGCGAAGGCGCUCUGCUGGGCCAUAACUGACGCUCAUGGACGAAAGCCAGGGGAGCGAAAGGGAUUAGAUACCCCUGUAGUCA
rnacentral:rRNA from 1 species